CCAGACUCCUACGGGAGGCAGCAGUGAGGAAUAUUGGUCAAUGGGCGAGAGCCUGAACCAGCCAAGUCGCGUGAAGGAUGACGGCCCUACGGGUUGUAAACUUCUUUUGUCAGGGAGCAAUUGAGUCCACGUGUGGGCUUAGCGAGAGUACCUGAAGAAAAAGCAUCGGCUAACUCCGUGCCAGCAGCCGCGGUAAUACGGAGGAUGCGAGCGUUAUCCGGAUUUAUUGGGUUUAAAGGGUGCGUAGGCGGGCUUUUAAGUCAGCGGUAAAAAUUCGGGGCUCAACCCCGUCCGGCCGUUGAAACUGGGGGCCUUGAGUGGGCGAGAAGAAGGCGGAAUGCGUGGUGUAGCGGUGAAAUGCAUAGAUAUCACGCAGAACUCCGAUUGCGAAGGCAGCGUACCGGCGCCCAACUGACGCUCAUGCACGAAAGCGUGGGUAUCGAACAGGAUUAGAUACCCCAGUA
rnacentral:rRNA from 1 species